rnacentral:rRNA from 1 species
UACGGGGGGGGCAAGCGUUGUUCGGAAUUACUGGGCGUAAAGGGCUCGUAGGCGGCCAACUAAGUCAGACGUGAAAUCCCUCGGCUUAACCGGGGAACUGCGUCUGAUACUGGAUGGCUUGAGUUUGGGAGAGGGAUGCGGAAUUCCAGGUGUAGCGGUGAAAUGCGUAGAUAUCUGGAGGAACACCGGUGGCGAGGGCGGCUCCUGGACCGACACUGACGCUGAGGCGCGAAAGCUAGGGGAGCAAACGGG